rnacentral:tRNA from 1 species
AGCCGUUCUAGCUCAGUUGGUAGAGCGCGUGGCUUUUAACCACGUGGUCGUGGGUUCGAGUCCCAC